AUGCACAAUGACUCUCUAGACCAGAUCACAAAGGAAAUAUCCAGACAUUACUCUUACAACCAACCAUUAGAAGUUAGUUCCCUUGCAUUUGUAUCGAUGUAGAUGACAAGUGAAGAAAAUGGGAAACAAGUCACCUAGCAUUAUUACAUAUGAAGAAAAAGAAUCCCGUUCGCCUGCUUUUUGAAAUUAUAUUGUUUAAGUGGUCAGAGAAGAAUAAAAGUAUUUAUUGUUCUGUUAUUUUCAAAUUGAUAUAACAUAGAUUGUUUUGGUAUGGAAUUAUAGAUUUGUUAUUACUUAGUUUAGAAUUUAGGAGUGUUAUAUGGAGUUAUAGAAUUGUUGGUACUUUGAGUUCUUACUUGAUGUCAUUAAAUUUAUUCAUGGAGGUUGCAGAUGUGAAACAUUGCAGGGAUCUAAUGCAUAUCCA
rnacentral:lncRNA from 1 species